rnacentral:lncRNA from 10 species
AAGGUGCGUCCCUCCUCGGCUGGGAAAGGGGCACAUCUCCCAACAAAACCAUACGCAUACAUCCAACCUGGGGAGCUCCGGAGUUGGGGUGGGGGGGCGGCAGCGACGUGAGGAGCCAGGCUGCACGCUGUCUGCGCACACGGGGGUUGGGGGCACCGAUUCCGCACCCAAUCCGGCCCGGAACCAAUUCCGACCCAGGGACUCCGAGAGACCGCGGGCCCAGGGCGCGCACGCCGCACUCUCCGGGGGUCCAGGACGCCCGACGUUUCGGAGGGUAGCGCGAUGGGUCUCGAAGACAACCACGGGCAAUCCCCAAAGCUGUUGCCCUGGGGCACGAUCCUUCUCCACCCUGUCGGACACCCCGAGGACCCCCAAAUUCCGAGGCUCGGAUGCCCAGUCCUCUGUCUUCUGCGUCGAGACGCGCCCGGAGCCCACCGGCCCAGCGAUUGCUACCUCCUGCAGGACGCGAAGCCCCCAGCGGCCUGACUGUGGAGGGGAACCCACCUCUCCGCGCCCCCGCGUCCGGGGUCCCCGGUGCCGCGCAGCCUCGCGCCUGAGCGCCCCUCCGCCCCCGCGCGUCCUCCACGCUGGCGAGCAGGCGAGAAUCCAAGAAAAAGAAGCUGGAGAGAGAGGCGCGCGCGAGAAACAGGGAGGAUUUUACCAAGGUUCCCGCAAACGCCAAGCGGAGGGAGGCAGAGGUACAGGAAUAAUCCCCGGGUGCCGGGGCUGCUGUCUGAUGCCCUUCGGGGCUCCAAGACAGAGCCGGUGAAAACCGGAGACCGUGUGCCCCGCCGAGGUCCGGAAACGUGGCCGGUUUCCCCUUCACCUGGGCGGCGGCGUUCACAGCGGGGAGGCGCCUGGGUGGAAGCCCGGGAGAGGGGAAAGGUCCCCCUGCCCGCUCCCACGAGGUCUCCGCUCCCCUGGCCUAGGUGCCUGGCCUGGCGCAGCGCUCCGAGCGUGGCAGCCUUUUCCGGACGUCUCUCCGUCCCUCUUACAUUCCGGCAAGUGGCCCUGGAAGGAAAGCGCCCCCGCUGGCCCUUUUCUGUCAUACUCGAUUUUGUGGCCAGAAGGGGUCUCCUAGGGCCUUUGCCCCAAGCGCGCCAGGCCCCCGCGGUGGACUGGGGGUCGCCCCGGACGCUGUUCCUCUCGCUGUCUCGUCCUCUCCCUCGAGUUUGAGACGUGCCCUCUCCCUCGCAGAUCCGACCAGCAGCGCCUUAUUUGGGCAUGCAACCCCACACCGUCAAUUAGAUCAAAACGCUCACACAGAGCUCCUUUUUACCCCCCCUGUAAAGUAGGUCAUUCUCUUUAUUUCCCACUUGUAUUAUUUGUGUCUAAUUCUCCUCCUGAAAAAUAAUCAGCUGCAAGGAGCUUUGAGCAUCCUAAGAGCAGCUGUUAUUCUCAGGCUUGCUUCUGACUUGGAGGGCUUUUCAAGAAAGAGGAGGAGGCAUUUGGCCUGUCAUGAUUUUGAAGUCCCUCCCUUUCCAAAAGAAGAAACUUUUGUUUGAUGGAUUUUAUUUUGCUUUGUUUUUCUACCCCGUCCUUUUCCUCCAGGCAAGUAGGUUUCACCCCGCCUUUAGAGCGUGGCCAUGACUAAUAUUACUAAAGGAUGAAAUUGUGUACUUCUAACCGGUUUUAAAGCAUUAUUUAAAGUCACCUCCCUUCCUUUUUUGCUUUGGAAGAGAUUCCAACUCCCUUUUCCUACUCCCUUUUGGGAACUUGUUGAACAAUCAUUAAAUUUUCUUUUAGGAAACCUGGAAUGUCCUGUAGUAGUAACUCAUCAAAUAAUUCUGCAGUACAAAAAGUGUUUUUGCUGUGGUCUCUUUUUCUCUGUUGUCCAGUAGAUGCCCCUACUAAAUGUGGUUUCUGCCUUUUUAGUCCUGGAGAUGACGUGUAUGUGGUUGUCGUAUUUAUUCCAAACUCCAUCCCGUGUCCUAAUGUUAAUCUCACCCAGAUGGGAAGGAUACCUCUAAGAUAGGCCACAUAUCCUAUCUGACCAUAAGGCAGAGUGGAUUCUGCAUCACAGAAGCCAGUUAGACUAGGCCCUUUCCCCCACAUGCGGAAGAGAGCUACGGAGGAGAGUUGACCCCAUGUUCAUUCUAUGCAUUUGACGGUUGAGUUCCUUUUACUGACAUCUGUUGAAGGCUUGCCAUGAGUCAGGCUGGGCUUGGCCUGUGAGGGAUCAAGGGAACAUUAAGGCAGUUUCUAUACACAAAGGGUUUACUAUGUUGAGGCAGGCAUAAACACCAGCCAAAUAGGGCUAGGGUCAGAAAAGCCCUCCAAGCCAAAAGCAGAUGUCCCAUGGGUGCCGAGGAAGGACUCAGGAUGAGCUUCUUGGAAGAGGUGACAUUGGUGCUUGGAUUUUUCGUUAACCAAAUAACAAAGCCAAGCUACAAUAGAUCAUCUAUGCAUUGUUCAAAAUGUGCAGCAUGGAGCAAAAGAGCCAUUUCAAAACUGCAUUGCCAGUUUUGGGACAUUCUCACUGAGUUCCAGUCAUUGGGCCUUUAAAAGAACAUGGCUUUACUGAUUGAAUGUUGCCUUGAUGUAUUCAGGAACUCCAGAUAUUUUUCAAAGAAUCCAAAUGUAUGGAAGGGAGGAUAAAAAAAUUUUUGCAGUCAAUUUUAUCAGUCUUUAGAGGUAUCGGUGAAAUAAUUCAAAGUUCUCACAGUCAAAUUGGAUAUUCUUUUCCAUCAUAGAAGUUGAAUCUGUGGCAUAUCCUCAUUUUAAAUAUGCACACAUUAAAUUUUCAAAAUAUGUAUUGGGUGACUAUGGGUGUUCAUUCGUGGUAUUACACAAGGGCAAGAAUGUGUGGGCUGCUAUACGAAUUACAGCACUAGCCCAGGGCUUGGGACUCUUGUUGGAUGUAUACAUUCAAUGACUUCAGCAUAAGCUUUGGAACAGACAAUAAGAACAGGGUUCCAUGCCAGAUGUUAGCACAGUUUUUCUAGUUAAUCACAAGGUGGGAAGGCCCUCUUUCUUCAUGUGAAUGUCCAGAAGCCCAUUUGUGGAUUCUUACCUCUGAUUAUCAGUUUUCACUUCAAAACUCAAAAGAAAAAACACAAUACCACGCAUCAUUGGAUAGAAUAACAUUAUGCUAGAGAAGAAAAUUGUAGCAACCAAGGCAAAGGGAAGUUGGGUCAGUAUAAACGUGAAGAAGAGGCUUUAGAACCCAAUAAUUGGAGACUGACUCAGAGGCCAGGGCUUAUGAAGAGUACCUUUGAAAGCAAGACUGAGGAACGCCUAUCAUGUGUUUCAAAUAUCAAGAUUAGGCCGUGACAGUGGCUCAUGUCUAAUCCCCA